rnacentral:misc_RNA from 1 species
GCUGAAGAACGUAGCGAAAUGCGAUAAGUAAUGUGAAUUGCAGAAUUCAGUGAAUCAUCGAAUCUUUGAACGCACAUUGCGCCCGCCAGUAUUCUGGCGGGCAUGCCUGUUCGAGCGUCAUUUCAACCCUCAGGCCCCCAGUGCCUGGUGUUGGGGAUCGGCCCAGCCUUCCUGUAAGGCCGCCGGCCCCGAAAUCUAGUGGCGGUCUCGCUGUAGUCCUCCUCUGCGUAGUAGCACAACCUCGCAGUUGGAACGCGGCGGUGGCCAUGCCGUUAAACACCCCACUUCUGAAAGUUGACCUCGGAUCAGGUAGGAAUACCCGCUGAACUUAAGCAUAUCAAUAAGCGGAGGA